rnacentral:snRNA from 21 species
UAGCGGAAGCGCCACAGCAACUCUGCAUCCGACUCCUCAUGGUCCAUGAGAGACUCCGGGAGGUCGGGCAUGCCGUCCGGGCCCAGGCGUUCAUCGGCGCGUGUAAAGGAUAUCCCGUCGGUGAGGGGCCUCAAGGGCGCCACUGGAAAGAACCAGUCCAACCCG